UCAACAUUGCAGAAAUUGCAACGAGAGAGCCCUGAGUCAUGACCCGACUCCGAGCUUUUCAAAUACCAGGCCAGGGAGACAAACAUACACACAGAGUUUCCAUGCUGCUGUGUUCUAGGUUUCCAAGGUGACAAAAGUUCUUGCAGAAUAAACAAGUGAAUCCCCAGUUCCUGGAAACCAGGCCGUGGAGAUCUGAAAACCUGUUCAUGUUUUGAGUGGGAGGGGUUUCCUGUUUGCCUGGGACACUUGCUUGUGUCAUCCUGCUUUGAGCUGGGGCAGGACAGAGGCCCUGAAAAGAGGGACCUUCCUUCCCUGCCCCUUGGACAACAUCAUUCAACACUGCAACUUCUGGUGGACAGGAAGCUCACCAUUCCUCAGUCAGAGCAAAAGCCUGAAAAGAGAGGCCUGUGAAGGGGCUGAUACAAUGAACUCCCAAAUCCGCUCAAGCAUGAUGUGGUAAAGGCAAUAAACUGGUGUCAAGCCCUGUCAACCAGGCUCCCAGGCCUGACUCUGCCGGGAGGGAUUAUGAAGGAGUCAGUCACCCAGUGAAUCAUGGGAAAGCUGUCUCCAGAGCCCCAGCCAACCCACCCAGCUGACAUAAGUCUGCCUUUCUGCUUCCCUUUCUCCCUCUACCACUGACUAAAAAUAAAA